rnacentral:rRNA from 1 species
UACGUAGGGGGCAAGCGUUGUCCGGAUUUAUUGGGCGUAAAGAGCGUGUAGGCGGUCAAAUAGGUCUGCUGUGAAAACUCGAGGCUCAACCUCGAGACGUCGGUUGAAACCGUUUGGCUAGAGUCCGGAAGAGGAGAGUGGAAUUCCCGGUGUAGCGGUGAAAUGCGCAGAUAUCGGGAGGAACACCGGUGGCGAAGGCGGUUCUCUGGGCCUUACCUGACGCUGAGGAGCGAAAGCGUGGGGAGCGAACAGG